AUGUCUUCUGACACUUGUUCCAAGUUCGGAGGAUUCCACUGCAUGUUUUCCAAGAAAUGGCAUUAUAAUUACUGCUAUUUUAUUUUUAACGACCAAAAUGGCUGACUUCCUGUAUUUAGGCGCUGCUUAUUUCAAUUUUCUAUCAGAAGUAUACAUUAUUAGGCUAAUCUUGCAGCUACAUUCUGCGCUUAAACAUUGGAGUUUUUAAUCUAGAUUGUCAAAUGCCACCAUUAAUUCUAAGUCCUUGUCCAUUUGUGAUACAGACUUGCUUUCUUUUUAAUCACCAUUCAUAAUACAGACAAUUCAUACCUUCGGUGCUAAGUCCUUGUCUACCAUUCGUGCACGAACACCCUCACAAAAAUCAGUGGAGAUCUGCUUGAAUAUUCCCUGUAAGGACAUUCGAUAUUCACGAACCAAGCAUUGAUCGAGUGUUUGAAAUCUACCUUCUCUUAUAGAUCUUAAGGAAACCUUCAAGCUCAAUGGUGAUGCCUCUUUAAGUCUUCUUAGAGUGGAAUUGCAAAAUGCAUCAUUGGUUCCAGAAGCCUCGCUUUCCUAAAAGUAGUGGUUAUUUCAGCAAAACAACUUGUUAUGAUGUUAGGGUGAUUUGACUUGCUACUUUGGUGAACGCAUUUCUAAAAGAAGAGUUGACUCCAUCCCAUGAUUAACAAGUGCUCCAGAAAGUUUCAAAGCAAGGCAAUGCACAAAUAUCCAAGACUCCAAAUCUGUUCCAAUCUUGUCACGAAUGUGAAACACCUCAAGGUAAACAGCUAAACUGAUGAGAAAAUUACCACCCCCUUAACCGGAAUCUCCUAAACUGAAUGCUAUUCCAGUGGAGAAUAUUUUGUUUCCACUCCCUCAUUUUCUUUGUUAGCAAUGGGAAAGAUAUAGAAAGAUCAAAACCUUCUGAAAUAAAUGUUGUGGAAAAUAUACUAUGCACAUAUAAACGGGUUUGCGAUUUUGAAAUCUAAACUAACAAAAACAGUGAGACUAUCAAAAUAUAUGCUUACCAGAGCAUCAAAUAUUUCUUCAACAGUGUCAUGGCUGAAACAUUUAUCAACAGUUUCAAUCCUAAAUAAAUGAGACAAGGGAUCAGUUAACUUGAUGAUUAUAUCAAUAAAUUAGUUAUGCUCUGUGUAAUUUUCAAGUUAAAAAGAUUAGACAUUUUCUUUGUCUGCUGUGAAAGGUAAAUGAAAACCAAUUUGUUUGUUUCCAAAAAUAACCUAUCACUACAAUGUCCAUGACUCGUUGUUUCACAUAGUAAAACAAACCUGUGAAUUACACUCAUCUUAUCUGGAUGGACAAGGUCACCAUAUUUUUCUAAAGUUGCUUCAAUGACAGAAGGAUCAUCUGUGAACAGUUUCCCAAGCUGUUGUUCAAUUAAUUGAAGCCUUUCACUAUAUGAAUAGUGUGUAGCUAGGCCACAAGCAAUCAUUUCUGCGCCAUUGAGGUUUUCUCCACUUAAAGCUAAGUAUUCCCCUGCUGAAUGUGUAAUUUGUGCAAUAUCCCUCAAAGCAACUACAAGAGCCAUCAAGCACUCAUUUAAGAGAAGGUUGCCAAAGCAACUCAAGGGACACUAGGUGACCAGGCAGAUGAGAGAGAAAGAAGGAUGCACCAGCAUCAGGGUGGAAUCCAAUAAGAGUUUCAGGGGUGGCAAAAGCAGUUUUAUUAGUUGCAACUCGGAAUGUACCAGGGAUUGAAACUCCAGCACCACCACCCAUGGUAAUGCCAUCCAAAAUAGCCACCUACAGUGUGAUUAUUAAUGCAUGAGCUAAAAAGAACAGAAGUCCUAUUCUAUCGGAACAAAUGGUAGUUUGACACUACAUACAACUCAUUGGUAUUGUGAAAAAUGUUCUGCUAUACAAGGAAAUAUCCACACAUUGAAACAUGAAGAGAUGCAUUCAUUGAUAGCUUAAUAUAAAAUGCCAAAAUGGGUAGUAGCGUGUACAAGUUGUUAAUGAUUUGAGAUUGUGGAUACUCACAUGCGGCUUCAAAUAUGUACCUAGUUCAUAUAUGAAACUAUAUAUUGUCCGGAAAAAUUCCUUACAGUCUUCCAACUUCCCUUGGUUUAUCAAGUGAUAAAUAGAAACUAUGUCUCCACCUGCACAAAAUGCCCUGCCACUGCCCUUCACAGAUUCAAAACAACGCCCGGUGUCCCUUAGCAUAAAAUUGAAAUUAAUUUAAGCAAUUAAACAAAAAAAAAAAGCCAAUAAGCAAACGUUUUAACGUUACUUUCAUCGCCACAAAACCAAUAUCUGGAUUAUCCUCCCAAGAUUUAUACAAUUUUUGCAAUCUCGCACACAUAUUCGUAUUAAGAGCAUUGAGGGCGGAAGGUCUGUUGAGAAUGGCGGUUCUCGAAUAACCUUUGCCUUCAACUAAUACCUGAAUAAACUAGUAAUAGCAAGACUGUUAAUUAAACACAAAAUGAAUUGAAAGUCAGCGAGGAUGGUAUGAAAUGAGAAGGAAAAUUAACAACUUGAUUCUUGAGGUCGUCAUCGAUUGAGCGCUCGCUUGGAAGAGAAGAGAGGUUUCCGUAGUGGUAAUGGGGAAGGGAUCGAAAACUAUCAGCUCUGCUCCACCUUAUAAACAACGCCGCGGCUGACUUCAAUCCCUGCAUUACUGUCUUCUAUUUCUUCCAACUCUCUCUAUUCCUUUUCUUCUCAGUCUCUUCCCACGAGGGAUUAUACUGCUUGCUUUGCUCUGCCUGGUUUUGCAAGGGAACCGGAGAGUCUACAGCACAGUGACAGGGCGCAUUUCUGCACGGUUUGGAUGCAGGACUACG
rnacentral:misc_RNA from 1 species